rnacentral:rRNA from 1 species
GGAAAUGUCUUAUCGAUGACGGUAUCUGCAUAAGAAACACCGACUAAUUACGUGCCAGCAGUCGCGGUAAAUACGUAAGGUGUAAACGUUGCUCGGAAUUACUGGGCGUAAAGGGUGUGAAGGCGGCAGAGUAAGUUAGUGGUGAAAUCCCGGUGCUUAAACACCGGGCCUGCCAUUAAAACUGCUUUGCUCGAGUAGGAAUAGAGGUAGCAGGAAUUUCUAGUGUAGGAGUGAAAUCUGUAGAUAUUAGAAAGAACACCAAAGGCGAAGGCAAGCUACUGGGUACCGACUGACGCUAAUGCACGAAAGCCAGGGGAGCGAACGGGAUUAGAGACCCCGGUAGUCCUGGCCGUAAACGAUGUUCACCAGACUUAUGAUAUAUUGAUAUAUUGUGGGUUGAAGUUAACGCAUUAAGUGAACCGCCUGGGGAGUAUGCACGCAAGUGUGAAACUCAAAGGAAUUGACGGGGGCUCGCACAAGCGGUGGAGCAUGUGGUUUAAUUCGAUGAUAAGCGAAAAACCUUACCUGGGCUUAAACUUGUAUUGAUCGCCUGUGAAAGCAGGUUUCCCUUCGGGGCAGUAUGAGAGGUGCUGCAUGGCUGUCGUCAGCUCGUGUCGUGAGAUGUUGGGUUAAGUCCCGCAACGAGCGCAACCCUUAUCCUAUGUUGCUACGAUCUUUUGAUCAGGACUCUUAGGAGACUGCCCGGGUUAACCGGGAGGAAGGCGAGGAUGACGUCAAGUCCUCAUGGCCCUUAUGUCCAGGGCUACACACGUGCUACAAUGGGAAGUAUAAAGAGCAGCGAAGCCGCGAGGUGGAGCGAAUCUCAAAAAACUUCUCUCAGUUCGGAUCGCAGUCUGCAACUCGACUGCGUGAAGCUGGAAUCGCUAGUAAUCGCGGAUCAGAAUGUCGCGGUGAUACGUUCUCGAGCCUUGUACACACCGCCCGUCACACCACCCGAGUUUAUUUUACCUGAAGUCGCU